AGUUUGAUCCUGGCUCAGGAUGAACGCUAGCUACAGGCUUAACACAUGCAAGUCGAGGGGCAGCAUGAUCAAAGCUUGCUUUGGUUGAUGGCGACCGGCGCACGGGUGAGUAACGCGUAUCCAACCUUCCCCUUAGUAGGGCAUAGCCCGUAGAAAUGCGGAUUAAUACCCUAUGUUCUUCGUCGAGGACAUCUGAAAUGAAGCAAAGGUUUACCGCUAAGGGAUGGGGAUGCGUCUGAUUAGGUAGUCGGCGGGGUAACGGCCCACCGAGCCAUCGAUCAGUAGGGGUUCUGAGAGGAAGGUCCCCCCACAUUGGAACUGAGACACGGUCCAAACUCCUACGGGAGGCAGCAGUGAGGAAUAUUGGUCAAUGGGCGAGAGCCUGAACCAGCCAAGUAGCGUGCAGGAAGACGGCCCUAUGGGUUGUAAACUGCUUUUAUAUGGGGAUAAAGUCGCCUACGUGUAGGUGUUUGUAGGUACCAUAUGAAUAAGGACCGGCUAAUUCCGUGCC
rnacentral:rRNA from 1 species